rnacentral:rRNA from 1 species
GACCGUUACUGACGUUUAGGCUCGAAAGUGCGGGUAUCAAACAGGAUUAGAUACCCUGGUAGUCCGCACAGUAAACGAUGGACACUCGCUGUCGGCGACAGACAGUCGGCGGCCAAGCGAAAGCGUUAAGUGUCCCACCUGGGGAGUACGCCGGCAACGGUGAAACUCAAAGGAAUUGACGGGGGCCCGCACAAGCGGAGGAACAUGUGGUUUAAUUCGAUGAUACGCGAGGAACCUUACCCGGGCUUGAACUGCGCAGGAAUGUUGGGGAGACCCAUCAGUCAGCAAUGACCUGCGUGGAGGUGCUGCAUGGUUGUCGUCAGCUCGUGCCGUGAGGUGUCGGCUUAAGUGCCAUAACGAGCGCAACCCCUUCUUCCAGUUGCCAUCGGGUGAUGCCGGGCACUCUGGAGGGACUGCCGCCGUAAGGUGUGAGGAAGGCGGGGAUGACGUCAAAUCAGCACGGCCUUUACGUCCGGGGCUACACACGUUGAACAAUGGGGGGUACAGCGGGGUGCCACCGCGCGAGCGGGCGCCGAUCCUCAAACCCUCCCGUAGUUCGGAUUGGGGUCUGCAACCCGACCCCAUGAAGCUGGAUUCGCU